CAGGCUGAAGACCUUACCCGAUUAGCUGAGAGGUGGUGCAUGGCCGUCGUCAGUUCGUACUGUGAAGCAUCCUGUUAAGUCAGGCAACGAGCGAGACCCACGUCCACAGUUGCCAGCAUACCCCUCCGGGGUGAUGGGUACACUGUGGAGACCGCCGCUGCUAAAGCGGAGGAAGGAGUGGGCAACGGUAGGUCAGUAUGCCCCGAAUCUCCCGGGCUACACGCGGGCUACAAUGGUCGGUACAAUGGGCAUCUACCCCGAAAGGGGAAGGAAAUCUCUUAAAGCCAAUCGUAGUUCGGAUUGAGGGCUGCAACUCGCCCUCAUGAAGCUGGAAUCCGUAGUAAUCGCGUUUCAACAGAACGCGGUGAAUACGUCCCUGCUCCUU
rnacentral:rRNA from 1 species